GGAAAUUUAGGUCAAGGACGCCGGGAGCACACCCACACCCUGCGCUCCCAGGGCAGUCCUCGAGAACCUCGGGAUCUGGGGGGCUUGCGGAUGGAGGAGACCCUCCUGCACAAACACCAGCCACAAGUUUUAUUUUCCCUUCGCGCGGCAAGUUCUCUGGCUCCCGCUCCACACUGGCACGUCCUGCACGGCUCCCCGCCCUUCCCCGGCAGAGGCAGAAGUCAGUGGCUACCUUCCUGAUGUAGACUUGAACAAACUGUUAAGUGGUGAGCUGAGAGGAGACCUGAUCGGGGCGGGGCCCCGAGCGCUGCAGUGUCCAAGCCAGAGACUGAUAAAGGACUAAAGGAGAAGGCUACUAUGUCACUCCACUGUUUUUCUUAAGAUUUGGAAAUCUGGUGUUUUGGCUAACGAGUUGUGCGAGUUCUGUUCCUCUUCGCCUCUUAUGACUCUCCUUUCUCACCUCCAGUUCAAAAUGACUGCAAGCAGCCACGCCACCAACUCCGUCUUGAUGAAAGGGGCCGGGCUCCCAGAAGAAAAUAGCUUUGCCUUUCAACUCCACCUGGAAACGGUUGACAUGGCGCUACCUUCACUGCCGCCUCUCCACUAGCCUUGGCGCUUCCCCCAUCUCUGCCAAGGCUGGCCCCUGCCAAACCAAUCUAAAUAUCACAGCUGGAAGUACAGGGUCUCCCCCGCCCCCAACCCUUUCUCCCACACUCUAUACGCUGUACCUUGGGACCUUUCAACAUUCUCUGUAGUCAUUCUGAGCACCCGCACCCUGCCCAUCCACUAUGGCAACAGGCUCACAGACCGACAACUACACAUUAGUUUUUUAAAAAACUUUUGUUCCCCCAUUACACAAUACAAGAAGUGGCCACAGCAGCCGGACACAGCACCGCAACAGUGUUAACUCCAUUAUGUAUUUGUAUCUCCGGAAGGCCAGUCCAACAAAAUCUCUGCAGACCUUUGUGAGAAAUUGCCACUUUAUAGAAGAAACGCGCACUUUGGAGGACUGUGGGUGAGCGCGCCCUCUACUGGUGAUCAGAGGAAGUGCUUUUUACUGUAGGUUCCCUCUUCUGGUGGAGCAGGGGAAAAAAAAAAAGACUGUCUCUCCAGAGUUCAAGUUCCUGCUCCCAAAUUGUGACAUCAAAAUCUCCCCAAUUUAGGGGUUUCCUGUAGCUGAUGCCAAGACCCACCACGAUAGCCCAUGCUGCAAUUUCUACAAUUAAUACCAGUCAGCU
rnacentral:lncRNA from 1 species